rnacentral:rRNA from 1 species
GACGGAGGAUGCAAGUGUUAUCCGGAAUCACUGGGCGUAAAGCGUCUGUAGGUGGUCAAAUAAGUCAACUGUUAAAUCUUGAGGCUCAACCUCAAAAUCGCAGUCGAAACUAUUAGACUAGAGUAUAGUAGGGGUAAAGGGAAUUUCCAGUGGAGCGGUGAAAUGCGUAGAUAUUGGAAAGAACACCGAUGGCGAAGGCACUUUACUGGGCUAUUACUGACACUCAGAGACGAAAGCUAGGGUAGCAAAUGGG